rnacentral:rRNA from 1 species
UACAGAGGUCCCAAGCGUUGUUCGGAUUCAUUGGGCGUAAAGCGCGCGUAGGCGGUUACGCAAGUCGGUUGUGAAAAUCCGGGGCUCAACCCCGGACCUGCAUCCGAUACUGCGUGACUAGAGGUAGGUAGGGGAGAUCGGAAUUCCUGGUGUAGCGGUGAAAUGACGCAGAUAUCAGGAGGAACACCGGUGGCGAAGGCGGAUCUCUGGGCCUUACCUGACGCUCAGGCGCGAAAGCUAGGGGAGCGAACAGG